AUUGAACGCUGGCGGCAUGCCUUACACAUGCAAGUCGAACGGCAGCACGGGAGCAAUCCUGGUGGCGAGUGGCGAACGGGUGAGUAAUAUAUCGGAACGUGCCCGGUCGUGGGGGAUAACGUAGCGAAAGCUACGCUAAUACCGCAUACGAUCUACGGAUGAAAGCGGGGGAUCGCAAGACCUCGCGCGAUUGGAGCGGCCGAUAUCAGAUUAGGUAGUUGGUGAGGUAAAGGCUCACCAAGGCGACGAUCCUUAGCUGGUCUGAGAGGAUGAUCAGCCACACUGGGACUGAGACACGGCCCAGACUCCUACGGGAGGCAGCAGUGGGGAAUAUUGGACAAUGGGCGAAAGCCUGAUCCAGCAAUGCCGCGUGAGUGAUGAAGGCCUUAGGGUUGUAAACUGCUUUGUACGGAACGAAACGGUGAGCUCUAAUACAGUUUGCUAAUGACGGUACCGUAAGAAUAAGCACCGGCUAACUACGUG
rnacentral:rRNA from 1 species